GAUUUUCUAGACAUUGAAAGCGCCCUAUGGGCUUAAUAGAGAAUCCCGUGAAAAACGGGAGCGGACCCGCCGCCGUAAGCCGCACAAACGCCGCCUUUCUUCAUGCGCCACUGGGGCAAUGCCCUGGGAAGGCCGAAAGGCGGUUGGCAAGCCGGAAGACCUGCUUUCAACAAUACCCAACGG
rnacentral:ncRNA from 1 species